CGGUUGCGUGCUCUGGUGUUCACUUUUGGUUCUUGUGUUGCCUACCCGUUUAGUGGUAUUGAUGUGCCUCUUAAGACCCGUUCCAUCCAGACCCCUUCUAGGGGCUGCUGGGGGAUUCCAAAGUGAUGUGUGUUUUGCGUUAGCUGUGCAUUGUAAUGGCUCGCGUGCUGACAUGCGUCUAUUUUUCCCUUGGAUGCGGUGCAUGCGGUGAACGUGGGCUGACGUUUAUGCCCCGUUGAGUCCCUUUGAUUUAUCGGUUGCCUUGAAUGACACUUUGUCGUAGUGCUGGUCUUGCUCUACCAUUCUUGGGGGGUAACACUUGCACUUCGAGCAGAGUCGUUGACGG
rnacentral:misc_RNA from 1 species